ensembl:lncRNA
AAAAAAAAAAAAGGUAGCUUUGAGGAUUUUUUUUUCAUGUUAAAUGCUAUGCAAUGCACUUUUACCUGUUAUUCAGUGAAGGUUUGUGCCAUCAGCUGCACAGAAGUGUGGUUCUGCCCAUAUCUCGCCACUAACGUGAGAAGUUAUACAUGGAUCUGUCUAUGAGCCUGGAACCCAGCCACUCUUUCUGGGAAACUGUGUGCCUAUGACUCAGUACACACAUACUUAUCUAUUAAUAUGUUUGCAGAAGCAGACCUCACAUCAUAAAAAAAUACUGCAGGCUAAUUCAACUAUUACUAAUUGUAUGGCCUAAAACCAAAUUGUUUAAUAUUUUGUUAAUAUGUGAAUAUAACAGGAUAUUUUAUCUUAAUGUACAUUGAUAAUGGUUCUUUUAUUGCUCCUUCAAGUUUCUGCUAGAAAGGAAUGGAACUGAAGGAAUUUUGUGGUCAUUAGAUGAAUCCAAUUCAUAGAUAUUUAAGAUAUUUGGUUAAAUUACAGUAAAUGUCUGAAGUAAUAGUUUUUGUAUGUCUGAUGUUAAGUUUGUCUCUCAUUUAAAGCUAAAUGCAUCUCAUUCCAGAAAGUACCGGAUUUCAGUAAAAAUACAAGGAUUCCAGUAAUGGUGCUGAAUAUUCCAAAUUCCCUUUGUUGAGUAUAUCGAUGCAGUCUCAGCUUUGAUCAAGUUCAAAAGGCAAACUGUGGCAAAUGGGAAGAAUUUGUCCUUUUCCUAGUGCUGUAGUUGUGUGAAGCACAUUUAGGAGUCCUGCAGUGCCCUGACGUUGCAGUUUGCAGCACCUGUGCAGACAUUUAUUGCUGAGUGCCUCAGCUCCAGGAGGCAAUCAUAUCCAGAGCUCUGCAGCUGGAUAUUCCCCUUCACAGGUGUUAGGAUGAGGGAGGACAGCCCCGGUGUACAAGAAGUGCAAGGAAGAGAGAUUCUGCCUCCUCUUCAGGAGCACAGAAAACAGAAAGGACAAACCAGGACUCCAAAGCCUGGUCAAAAUGUCUGUAAAACAGUAUUCAGGAUAAUCUGCUAAUGAACUGCUGUGUUGGCAGCUAGUUUGGUGUCAAGCGGUUCUGCCUUUUGUUUUAAUAGCCUAGCUGAAGAGGCUUAACCUUUAACAUUCACAGUGAGACUCUGCUGGCCAGCAGCCACCUUUACUGUUGAAAAUCUGCAGUCGUUGGCAAAAGGUCUGUCCUGCAGUCCAUUGAGUUCCUGCCAGUGGGAGACUUAAGGAAAGUACUGCUUCUCCUAAUGGUUGUUGCUACUGCAAGCAGACACGCUGUACCGUCUAGGGCCUGGGUGAAUGGUAUUUAAUCUCUGAUACAACAGCGAAGAUACUGCAGUGGUGUCAGCCUAUCUCAGGGCCAAAUUUUAUAUAUAUAUAUAUAUAUUUUUUUUUUUUUCAGCUCAAGACUGAACAUAAUAAAUUCACUGCAGAGGUGCGUGCUCAUUUAAGUGUGUAAAAUACAGACCUUAACAAUUCAUAUUAAGUGAUUCAGUACUUGCAUCUCUGAGGUAGCAAUUUGCUAAUAAAUUUUGCAUACAAAAUAUGGAUCACCCAUUCAUUAUAUUUCAUCCAUUAUUCUAACUACCGUUAUCACUGUAUGGUUUUGUAACUGCUGAUAAAUGCACAAAGGGCACGUUAACAAAUUAAACUGCUUUGCAAUUAAGGUUGGGGCAAGCUGUCUAAUUUGUUGUACUCCAGCUGGGACAAAUCUGUUUAUGUCACUGCUCUUGUGUCAUGUCACCCAAACAUGCCUUCACUGAUACAUAAGGUUGUCAUCUAACAGCUGACACUUAGCUGCAGUUCUUGCUGCUGGCCACUUCGUGCUUUUAUCUCACUCAUAGUUGUAAUUACUAUGACAAGUGCAGGUUGUUUUGCAGUGACAGCGUUGGUUUUUUUUUCGUGACAGUGUUUAUUAUAUCUGUAAUAUGGCCAAGUCUGGGUCAGGUCCAUAGCAUUGGAAAUGAAAGCCAUUGGUAACCCUGGAGAUAUUAAUUUCAGCAAAAUAAGGUUAAGAAUUUGUAAUGAAAUAAAAUAGGAGGGAGGUAAGGUAAUAGGCAGAGUUAAAAGUACCAGUUCAGACAACAAUGUUUUUGAUGGAACUACUUCUAUGGGCAAAAAAAAGAAAAAGAGAGAAAGAAUAUGAUUACCAGGGAAUUGGAUGCAAGCAUCUGAAAGCUUGUAAAAGACAUACAACUGUUAAAGCCAAAGCAAAUGCUUUUGAUUCUAUCUCAACACAUUCCCUCCCCAAAUUACAUGUUAAAGCUUUCCUAAGAUGCAGCCAUGGCGAUUUUUGUGAAUAAACAAUAUGAUAUUAAAAUACAGAGGUUUUUCCUAGAGAUGAAGUAUUUUAAGUCCUGUACCCUUCUAAUUUUACUUCCUUGGCAUCUUCCUUAUUAAGAAACAGAAGUAAUGAAGGCUGUGAGAGUUAAGAGUUUUCAGUUCCAAACACGGUCUCAAGACUGUCGUCAACCUGUUCUACCAAAAUUGAUGUGCUAGAACUUCGAAAAGGAAGUCUACCUUUCCCCUCAACCCCUUCCAAACAGAGUGGCUAAGGCUCAUUUUUUAACAUGAGCAUUUCAGUGAAUGUUUACAUAUAUAUAGAAAAGUGAAAACUGAAGUGGACUGUUCAGUUUUGUGUUUUUGGAUUACAGGGUAGUAUUUCUCAAUGUUUUGAUAAUAUGCCAGCAUCACAUAAGAUGGAAAAAGUGCCCAUGGAACCAAAAUAAAAACCCGAUCACUUGUUCAAAGGGGAAACUACACGAGGCUCCCCAGCUCACUCUUACUAAGACAGUGUUCUAGUUAGAAGAAAAUAGAAGGCUGUUUUUGGUGAUGUUAUUUUCAGCUGAAUUGUGUGUUGCCCUUGAUGAAGUUUUGCUGAAAGAAAAAAAAAAAAAGCAGUAACUUAAAAAAAAAAAAUCACACCAUGACCUUCAGGUAAAGAAGUAGAAAUAAAUACAAUUCCUUUCUUAUUUUGGAAUCAGUGGUUUAUUUAAGAAUUAAUCUGCUAGCACAGAGUAGAAAGUAGCAAGUCAGCAGACGUUCUGGGCUUCUGAAGGAAUUGAAGAACAAAAAGGCUGAGCUGAUGCAAGGAAAAAGCAGUGUCAUUAAAAGCAGCUACAGCUCUAUUGCUUUCGUGAGUACCCCUAUGGAAUUUUUUUCUUCACCUCCCUAUCACUGCAAGUGAUGAAUGUAUCAGGACUUCAUUUGCAGAAGCUAGAAUAUCUCAACGCUUUAUCAUUAGCACACCUACAAAGCUGCAAUUUUGAGUCUGGAAGGUAAUUUGGACUUAUGAGGGCAAAUGUUCUUGUACAGGUAUUAUAUUGCAAUUUAAUGUUAUUGGAACAAAUCAGCCUUAAGUAGAGUUGAGCAAGGAGAAAUACAAGGAAGGAAAGGGAGAAAGGCAAGACAAUUCUAAGAUGCUAAGAAAUUUAGUGUGCUGCUACUCCAAUAAUCAUAGAAUCAUAGAAUUGCUAAGGUUGGAAAAGACCCACAGGAUCACCCAGUCCAACCAUUCGCCCUUCACCAAUGGUUCUCACUAAACCAUGUCCCUCAACACAACAUCCAAACGUUCCUUCAACACCACCAGGGUCGGUGACUCCACCACCUCUCUGGGCUGCCCAUUCCAGUGCCUGACCACCCUUUCAGAAAAGUAGUAUUUCCUAACGUCCAGCCUGAACCUUCCCUGGCGCAGGGAAAAAUUUUAUUUAUGUUAAAAAUAAUAUUUUUAAAAGCUGCUCUUCUUCGUUUCACUGUGUGUGAAGAAGGGCUGAACGAUUUAGCAGUAUUUACUUCUAGAAAAAUUAUUAAAAGAUAAUAAUCUUUGGAUCUCCUUAAAGAAUGCUGGCAGUUGAACCAAAUGAGUUAGGAUAUAGUGAGUACUAAAGCAAUGAAAUAUGAUACAAUUGAAAUGAGUAAUUAGUUUAAUUUAGAUUCCUUAAGGGUCUGAAUUCUGUUAAUGACUUUCUAUGAUAAGUCAUACACGAAGCUCGGGGUGAACAGAAUGAAAGAGAGAGUACAGGGACAGAUACAGAAGCCAACUGUAUCCUGGGCUGCAUCCCAAGCAGCGUGGUCAGCAGGGUGAGGGAGUGAUCCUGCCCCUCUGCUCUGUGCCUCUGAGGCCUCACCUGCAGAGGUGCAUCCAGGUGUGGAGUCCUCAGUACAAGACAGAUGUGGACCUGUUAAAAAGUGUCCAGAUGAGGGCCACAAAAAUGAUCCAAGGGACAGAGGACCUCUCCCACAAGGACAGGCUGAGAGAGCUGGGGCUGUUCAGCCUGGAGAAGAGAAGGCUCUGGGGAGAUUGAGAGUGGCCUUUCAGUAUCUAAAGGGGGGUAAGAAAGAGGGGGACAGACUCUAGCAGGUUCUGUUGUGAAAGGACAAGGGGAAAUGGGUUCAAACUCAAAGAGGGGAGAUUUAGACUGGAUAUAAGGAAAAAGCACUGGAACAUUUUGUCCAGAGAGGUCGUGGAUGCCCCGUUCCUGGAGACACCCAAGGUCAAACUGAAUGGGGCUCUUAUCAACCUAAUCGAGCUGUACAUGUCCCUGUUUGUUACAGGGGAGUUGGACUAUGUGAACAUUAACAGUCCCUUCCAACUCAAACAACUCUGAUUCUAUGAUUGUAUGAGAUUUGGUACUUCAGGUGCUGCUGAAGUUGAAAUUACGAAAAUAGGUAAGUUGUUUCAUGAAUCUAAAUCUUUUUAAACAAGGCAUGCUUCUUCUUGUUCCCACCUAAAGACCAGGAGGAGGGUUAACCUGGUUGCCCUGCUGAUUGGUCAUCAUCGUAACACUAAAGCUUUGCACAAAGAUGGAUGUUUGCUAACUUGCACAUUUGCUAAUUUGAAGGUGUGUCCUUUCUUUCUCUGUAUGAUAUCCUGUCACCUAAGUAUAGUUGAGCAUUUUGUUCCUCAUUGCUCCAGCUAAGCCCUCACGCAAGCCUCAUAUUGAUUGCCAGCCUGCAAAAGACUGGAGGAAUUUCAGCAGCCCUGAAAAGGCAGCACAAUGGCAAAUGAAGUUUACACAAGGUAGAGGAAGUACAGAUGACUUGCAUCUUGCACAUGAUGUGGUAACAAUAGUGCUUCCAGAAAAAUGGUUCUAGGUCACCCUGCCUGAGUGGGGCAUAGUACAAGAUGGCCUCACAAGGUCCCUCCCAGCUUCAACUGUUCUGUGAAAAAAACACAGCUAUUAAUUUAGGCAGUACAGUCUGUAGCUCUGAUCAACGAGGUGUUUGACUGAUAUACAUAGAAAUCACACAACCUCGGCCCAAAUGUGCACAGACCUGAUCACCAGAGGUAGGCUAACUGAGGAUAGCUGCCAGCUGCCCACCAAGCCACUCUCACUCCCCAUCCUAGGACAGGAGCCUAAAGGACUGCAGAAUUAGACAACAUUUGGAGACAUGAAGGGCAUGGACAAAGAAAAAAAAAAAAAGGAUCUAAUGAAUUAGAACUUUUUACCUAAGAAAUGAAAUAAAUAAGAAGAGAUUCAAACAUGC